rnacentral:rRNA from 1 species
GAGUCGGGUAGCUUGGGAAUGCUGCUCUAAUUGGUGGUAAAUCUCAUCAAAGGCUAAAUAAAGGUGGGAGACCGAUAGUAAACAAGUACCGUGAGGGAAAGAUGACAAGCACUUUGAAAAGAGGGUGAAAAGAACCUGAAACCGUUACGGGGGAAGCGGAUUGCGUUGGAUUGAUGGGCGUUUGUGUGUUCAGCCAUGAACUUUGUUCUAGGUGCAUUGAUGCAAAUUGCUUAUCCGUCGUGGGUUUUCGGCAAUCGAAUUUGGGUUGCUGGAGGCUGAGGGCUCCCCUUUUAGGGUAUUGAGGACGGCGGAGUGACGACGCGAUACGACCCGUCUUGAAACACGGACCAAGGAGUCUAGCGCGGGUGCGAGUCGAAGGGUUUGAAAACCUGUGGGCGAAGUGAAAGCGAGUUUUGAUUCUAAAACUAGCAGUUUGAGGCGGCAUAGAAUCGUUGAUUCUAGGUCCGACCUGGAGCAGUUGCGCUGGGACCCGAAAGAUGGUGAACUAUGCCGGAGUAGGGCAAAGCCAGAAGAAAUUCUGGUGGAGGCUCGUAGAGGUGCUGACGUGCAAAUCGCUCGUCAAACUUGGGUAUA